AUUCUUCAGGAGCAGGUCACCCCUGUGAGAAGAUCACCUUCCCAUCCUGUGGGUAUCCACCUCUUCAUGGCUUAUUCCUAAAAGUCUGAAGACUCUAAAUUUAAACGUUUUUCUUCAUUUAUUCCUAAAUGAAGAUAUUCUCCUCAUUUAAGAAACUGCUUAUUUUGACAAAAUCAGGAGAGAUUUUAUGCAUUAUAUUCAUAAAUAAAUCUCUCUAUGUUGAUGAAGAAAAGUUAAAAAUUUUAAAUGACAUCUGUAGCAGCCCUCAGCGCAGUUUCUCAUCCGUGAAAACUCAGAGAAAGAAGAAAAUUCUCAACGCUGACAACCACGACUGAAGACAACCUCGUGUUUCGAUUAAAGGUUUGCAAAAACGUUGCUGACUACAGGGCAGGUGAUGAUUAAUAGAGGAAAACCAAUCCUGGAAACACUGGCUGAUGGAGAGAGCGCCAGAGGAAGGGGAGGAUAGUUAUUCCUCUUUGCCCAUGUGCCUGCUGUCUCAGAGACCCAGAAUCUUCACCAACCAUAAGUCUAAGAGCACGAGAAUGAGGAAUCAUGGCACAAAAGGAUGAGUGAAUGUUGUAGAGAUUGUUUCAGCCUGACUUUGAUCUCCACUGCAAGAAUGAACUGAAUUCAAUAAUAGAGGGAAUUGCAAUGCACAUCGGACCCCAAGGGGAUCAGCCCAUCCUUUAGUGGAGGGCUCCUGCCUCACUUCACACUGAAAUUUAAACUCCUUCUCUGGUCCCUGGUAACUACAGGUGAAUUAGUCCCUUUCUUUUUAUUCUUCUCUUAUUUUUAAGUGGCGAUAUAUUUCCAAAAAAUUCUUUUUUCUUUUCUUACUUCAUGCUCCAUGUUUAGAAAAUAUAAGCAAAUAAACAUGUUUUAAAGUCUCCAGUAAUCCCAACUAUUUACAUGAAAAUAGAAAGUAAUCUAGGAAUUUAUCUUUUAUUAUAUAUUUUAAUAUACAAGUAUAAAAAUAGUCUCAUGCAUAAUACUGUUCUGAUUUUUUCCAUUUAAAUAAUCAUGGAUAUUUGUGAAAAUAUAUUUUACUAUUACAACAAGAAUGAAGGAGCAUUAUUUUAAAUAUAUCUGUUUGAUUAUUUUCUCAAGGUAAUUUCUUAUGUGGAAUUACUUGAAAGAAAGGUAUUCAUGAUAUGAAUACCUUUAAGGUUUCUUUUUUAAAUAUUAGUAAAGUAUCUCCUUAAAUAUAAUAUCAAUUUGUGAUUUUGACCUCAGUGUAUGAGACUGCCCAGUUUGCCACAUACUCACCAAUACUCUAUGUAUUACUAUCCUUUUCAAUCUUCGUCAGUCUAAUAUUUUGGUUAAUUUGUUUCAUGAUAUCAAUUGUAAUGGCAAAAAAUUUAUCAUAAGUUUGUUGGAUAUUGGCUUUGCUUUUCUUAUGAAUGUGCAUUUAUUUAUGUCCUAUGCCCAUUUUGCAAUUGAACAUGACCUAUUUUUAUGUAUUCUUUUUACUGAUUUGUAAAGGUUCUUUACAUAUUCUUGUGAUUGUUAAUUUUGUGUCAAACUCACUGAUCCACAGAAUGCCCAGCUAGCUGAUUAAACUUGAUUUCUAGGUGUGUCUGUGAGGGUGUUUCUGGAAGAUAUUAGCAUUUAAAUUGGUGGACUAAAUAAGCAGAUGGCCUCUCCCAAUGUGGAUGGGCACCAUCCAAUCCUUUAAGGGCCUGAAUGGGAUAAAAAGGCUACAGGAGGUUGAAUUUGCUCUCUUCCCUGACUACUUGAACUAGAACAGGGAUCUUCUCCUGCCCUCAGUACUCCUGGUGCUCAGGUCUUCAGAAUCAGACCGGAAUCUUUCCCUGCAAAUUUUAGUUGACUUUUUACCUUAAUUACAUAAUCAGAUAAUUUAUAUAUAUCAAACUUAUAAUGCUUAACGGACUAAAGUUUUUAAGUUACUAAAUUUCACAAAAGAGGUAUUUUCAAAAUAUCACAUAAAAGAAUAUAUGAAAACUUUUUGUCAUAUAUGCUUUCAAACUUAAAAUUCCUAAUAAUAGAUCUCUAACUGCUUUCUACUAUUUACUAAGCCAUUUAUCAUUUUUUUUUGUUAUGCAGUGUCCACAAGGUCCAGCAACAAAACAAACUAUAUGAAAGCAAUAUAACCUUACCACUAUUUAGAUUGUUAAAAUUAGUUUUGGGGAAUUUAUUCCUCAGUUAAUCAGGUCCAAUGUGUAUCUAUGUACUGAGAUUCAGGAUUUUAUCCUGUUAGCACUACCAUAAGAGUUUAGAUUUCCUUAAAUGAGAAAAAUGCAAUAUGUGUAUGUUUUAGAUAUAUAGCUCUGCAAUUAUGAAUUUCUAUCAAUAAUAUUAUACAUAGAAAACGUAUCUUGUAUGUCCUCCAAUUGUGAUCAGAGAAAAACGUACAAGAAAUAUUAGGAGCCUUUUCCUUAGAGUUUCUGAAUAAAAACAUGAGAAGAAGCAAACUUGUGUUCGAGGGGUGCUAAAACAUCCUGCAAAUCUUCAGCUCUGGAGUCACAGGACCAGACAACUGGGAUCCAUGAAGGCAUCUCAGGACUCACCGUCCACUCCCUCACUUCCCAGGGAGGACACUGGUCACCCACAGGGAUUAUGUGAUUUGUCCAAGGUGACAGCACAAGUCAGUGUCAAGAUGCCCACUCUCCUAUAGUCCUAGUCACUGUCCUGCCCAGCUUGCUGCCUCUCUUGAGACUUUGAGAAGGAGCACAAGGCCAUGCCAAUUUCCAUGCUCAGCACAAACACUCACACCACCCCCACUGCUCUCCAGGGAUCACUCACACAGAACCUCAGCCAGUACCUACACACUGCUAACAGACUCCCACAAAUGUGAGGCAGCUGAACUCAGCUUCCCACGAGCACUCAGCAGAGGGAAGACCAUAGGAAACUGUGAGAGUCUAGUUGGCUGCCAAUUUAUUAAUAUGUUGUAGGACUUCAACAAUAGAAUCUCAUCCUCAGACUCAAGCUACACAUGGAUGCCUCCCUCCAAUAAGCCAUGGUGCUACAUUCAGUGCCUCUUACCCUGCUGUGCAUCACGGGAUGAGGACAUCAGAGCCAGGUUCCAGCCCAGUGUCCAUCACUAACCUCACCCUGGAAGAGUAAUAAGAAUCAUCUCACCUCUCCUGGCAUCCAUCUCCUCCCCUGUGGAAUGUUAUGUGGUCACCUGGAUAAUAUCUAGGGUGCCAGUAUCACUAUUCUAGGCUUCCGUGAUGGUAAACAAGGGCUUGGGAAGAAGGAAGCUAGUGAUGACUAUGAAGACAGCCCAAGAGAUACACAGGACUCUCUCAAGGCAACGUACAUUUCCUGGGUGAGAAACCAGGCUCCAGGCAGAGAACACAUCUUUUCCUUAAUUGUAAUAAAAACCAGGGAGACGUGGUCUAUUUUUCAUGCACCUUCAAAGCCACUGGUGCACACAAAACUAAUAGCACCUGCUUCAAACAGCAGCAGCUCUUUGACCUCCAGCCUAAUUAGCGCAUUUCUCCAGUGAAACCAUCUGGACAGGGUCCGCCCUGGCUCAUUUCCUUCAUUAACAAAUCUUCCAAGUGGCAACAGAAGUCUCCUGUGUUGGCGCCAACCUUACAGGCACACCUCACGGCUGACAGGGCCCGAAGUGUGGUGGCAUUUUUCAUUUUCUAAUCAAAGGGGUCAGCGUAAAUGGGUGUUGGCAGUUGACGGCUGCAGCUGUCUGAUGUGUCAACUCCUUGCCACACAGAGUUUCUAAUAAAUGGUGCUGGAAAAAUAA